rnacentral:ncRNA from 1 species
UAAGAGGCUGUGACCGGGAAGAGUACCCCCACUUCCCCGCCCAAGAGAGGAGCCGGACGGUGCAAGGCUCUGGCGGUGGUGGAGGGAAGGCGCCCGUAAGCCGCGGGGAGGCAAUGCCCCGCCGGUUCCCCGCCGUUAUCGGGUUCGAGUGCGGGCCGCGUUCUUUUUCCGGCCCGAAUUCAGGUGGUACCACGGAGAACCUCCGCCCUGAGC